rnacentral:lncRNA from 1 species
GAACAGAAACAGAGACUACUACAACAACAACAACAAUCGACAAAAUUACAACAAUAAUAAUAGAGACAGAUCAAACUACAACAACAAGUCGAACAACAACAAAUGGCGUCGGUCGAUCAAUAGCAGCUCAGGUAACAACAGUUCAAUAGUUUGUCAACUCUGUGAAAAGGCAGGUCAAAAUGCUAGGUCGUGCAAGAAAGAAUUGAAAGCUUUUG